rnacentral:misc_RNA from 1 species
GAUGAAGAACGCAGCGAAAUGCGAUAAGUAGUGUGAAUUGCAGAAUUCAGUGAAUCAUCGAAUCUUUGAACGCACAUUGCGCCUCCUGGUAUUCCGGGAGGCAUGCCUGUUCGAGCGUCAUCAAAAACCUCAGUCUGAGACUUUGUCAAGGAUUGGUCAUGCUUCGGAUGCGAUUGCAUCCCCAGCGAAAUCCAAUGGCGAAGAGCCUCUAGGCCAAAGCGUAGUAUUAAUAUCUCGUUAUGGUCCGGUGCGCGCUUCUGCCGUAACCCCCCCACUUCUAAGUUUUUGACCUCGGAUCAGGUAGGGAUACCCGCUGAACUUAAGCAUAUCAAUAAGCGGACGA